UGUGGCUAAACAAGAGGAGUAUGUGUAUAACGAACAGAUGUCUGCUGGGUACAAGAUUCUGCUGCAUGACCCAGAAAAUCACCCAGACUCUGUAAGAACUGGAAUCCUGGCUGCUCCCGGAUUUUCUACAUACGUGUCUAUAAAGAAAACAUCGUUCAAGUUCUUGCCGUAUCCAUACACGG